rnacentral:snRNA from 1 species
AGCUUUGCGCAGUGGCAGUAUCGUAGCCAAUGAGGUUUAUCCGAGGCGCGAUUAUUGCUAACUGAUUAAGGGCAUCGACUCUGGAGUCAGGCUGCCUGGGUUUGAAUCUCAGGGAAAGAAUUCAACCU